AAAACAUCUCUACUAAUCUUACUAAAUUUCAACUUGAUUUAAAACUAUAUGUAUACCUUUUGUUCAGAUCUUGUCACCUGAUUGCAAGAUCCAUGUGUACUUGACCCCCUCCUUAAUAGCCGUCACUAGGUGACCAAAGCACACGUGGUCACUACAACACCAGCUUUUUUAUAUUCUAGUUUCGAUGAGCUGCUUCACUCAUUGCUCAUCCAGGAAGAGGCAGUGACUUCCUGUAAAAAUGCUUCAAAAAUGCUUGUUUUUUUUUUUGUUUGUUUUUCUGUUUUUCAUUUUUUAACCAGCAUUUUAUGAGCGUUACCACUGAUUUCAAUUGAAAACACCUUUGGCUGAAAACACUCGAAAACUGCUGCAUGUGGAGGAUUUCUAAA